rnacentral:rRNA from 1 species
CAAUAGCGUAUAUUAAAGUUGUUGCGGUUAAAAAGCUCGUAGUUGGAUUUCUGCUGAGAACGACCGGUCCGCCCUUUGGGUGUGUAUCUGGCUCUUUCUUGGCAUCUUCUUGGUGAACGUUGCUGCACUUGACUGUGUGGAGCGCUACCCAGGACUUUUACUUUGAGGAAAUUAGAGUGUUUCAAGCAGGCAUACGCCUUGAAUACAUUAGCAUGGAAUAAUAAGAUAGGACCUCGGUUCUAUUUUGUUGGUUUCUAGAGCUGAGGUAAUGAUUAAUAGGGAUAGUUGGGGGCAUUCGUAUUUAACUGUCAGAGGUGAAAUUCUUGGAUUUAUGAAAGACUAACUACUGCGAAAGCAUUUGCCAAGGAUGUUUUCAUUAA